CGUUAUUUUUUAUGUUUUUGUAAAGGAACUAUUUUUCAAAAUACUUUAAUAUAGAUCUGUUUUGCAGGUCAUUUUUACAUCAAUCAAGGAUUACAUUGUAUAUUUUUGUGUAUAAUUAAUUAUAUAAUACUGAAAAAAAAACAAUAUGGUCGUAAUUAUAUAGUAGAAUAUUUUUAAUUGCUUCAUGUUUCUACACGAGGAACGAGACCCAUAGAACAGCAAGUGAAAUACUAAAGAUGCGUUAAAUGGAUAACUAUUAUUCAAAACUUGGAUAGGCGUGUCCGAAGAGGAUACACGCAUAUAUAAUGUAUUUCUUUACCUACCGCCGUGUAACUAUAGUAACACUCAACAUUUAUUUGGAAAAAACAUUCAUUUAAAUUUAAUAUUUAAUAUACUAACAUAAUAAAUAAUAUUGCCUAAAACAUUAGAAAGGGUACUUCAUUUUCUAGAAAUUUAGACUACUGCAUCACUAUUACUUUUUCAAUUUAAUAAUAGAUUUUAGUGAGAUGUUUUAAACGGAAUGCUGUAUAAAUUUCUAUGCUUACAAUCAUCUUUAUGUUUAUAAAUGAUGCAAGCUUUAAUGAAAAUGUGUAUAAAUUAAAUGUUAAAACAAACUCGAAUUCAUUGUACUUGAAUACUUAUUAAAAAUAUUUAUAAUAUUUUAGCGGUUAAAAUAAGUAAAAUUUUAGGAAUGCUCAGCAUAAUUAUUAAAUUAUUUAUUAAGGCAUAGAUGCUAGUUGUGGCUCGUGGGUGCUGGUGGUGGGGGUGCGACUUUAAAUAUAAUAUCGCUAGUUAUAGGUAUAAAAAAUUGUCAAAUUAAAUAUAAUAAAAUAAAACACAAUACACAUAUUAUUAUUUUAAAUGUCGCAGUAGAAAAUAGAAAUGAAAACAAUAAUAAUAGCGAUUACACUAUUAGAGCAACCGAUUGGCGCCGUUUUCCGUUCCAUGAAAUUCGGAAAAUCGCAAAAGUAUUAAAACGGAGGCUCCGGAAAAUUUGCGCGCAGGUCAGAAAAGACGCGAAACGAUAAGCGCCGUCGAAGAGUACCGGUUUCGAGACCGCAGAAGAAAAACGGUAAUUUUUGAUCGAGAGGAAACGUAAAAUUCUUCCAGGUGGCUCAUAUUUUGAGGGGCUUACGAAAUUGGAGUAUAGAGCGACAUAACGACGAGCGUACACUAGGGAGUGCGAUCGUCCCGUCGUCCAAGCCACGAUCCGUCACUGAUAAAUGCCAUUAGGGAGAUACCCCUCCGAAAAAAUUUGAUACGUACAAGCCAUGCAAAGCUUAAACGGCUGAACAAAUUAAAUGAAUUGUACAAGUUUAAACGAAAAUUUAUUUUACGCGUAUAAGAGCGAUGGAAGUGUUUUUGUAAUUGAAAUACAUUAUAUAAAAGCUAAAAAUAGAACACGUAUAAUAGUAUGACGGUUAGCAUGUUACAGUAAUAUUUCAUAAGUAGAAUUUUGUACGCGACGUCUUAUAAAUUUUAUAUCAUUUCAAACAUCUAAUGAUUAGGUACAAACAGAUGAAA